CCUACGGGGGGCUGCAGUCGAGAAUCAUUCACAAUGGGGGAAACCCUGAUGGUGCGACGCCGCGUGGGGGAAUGAAGGUCUUCGGAUUGUAAACCCCUGUCAUGUGGGAGCAAAUUAAAAAGAUAGUACCACAAGAGGAAGAGACGGCUAACUCUGUGCCAGCAGCCGCGGUAAUACAGAGGUCUCAAGCGUUGUUCGGAAUCACUGGGCGUAAGGCGUGCGUAGGCUGUUUCGUAAGUCGGGUGUGAAAGGCGCGGGCUCAACCCGCGGACGGCACAUGAUACUGCGAGACUAGAGUAAUGGAGGGGGAACCGGAAUUCUCGGUGUAGCAGUGAAAUGCGUAGAUAUCGAGAGGAACACUCGUGGCGAAGGCGGGUUCCUGGACAUUAACUGACGCUGAGGCACGAAGGCCAGGGGAGCGAAAGGGAUUAGAUACCCUAGUAGUC
rnacentral:rRNA from 1 species